GUAUUUUGGUUAUUUAGAAUUGAGAAUGAAUGGACAAUUAAGAACUUCUAUCCGACAAUUGAUUCAUCAAAUUCCAUUGAUUCAAGAAGAGUCUUUUCGGAACCAUCCAUAGAGCGGCGGCAGCGGAGAUCUGGAACCCGACAGGGAAACCACUCGAGCCCUAAAACAAAAUCACAAGAAAAUCAAAAAAAAAUAUUUAAAAGACUAAAAAUCUGAAAUACAUAAAUAUUUGAUGAUUAUCUAACCAAACUCAUAUUCUACUAAAUCUGAAAUAUUAAAACAAAAUCACAAGAAAAUUGAAAAAAUUUAUUUAAAAGACUAAAAAUUUGUAACACAUAAAUAUUUGAUGAUUAUCUAACCAAACUCACAUAAAAAUUGAAAAAAUUGACGAAAAAUCCGUAAUAUAUAAAAUCUGAAAUACAAGAUAAUCGGUGAUUUUAAAAACAAAAUCAACAUAAAUAUCACUAAAUAAUCGAAAUUACCUUUAACAAUUGAGAUAUUUCUUGAGUUAAGUUAGAGAUUUGUUGAACAAAUUAGGACAACCAUUCAUAAUUUGUAUUUCUUGAACCUGCAAAAGAAAAUUUUGAAAGAAAGAGAAAAUAUAAAACUUGAAUGAUCGGGGAAAAGAAACGUGAAUGAUGGGGAAAGAAGAUUAAUCGGUACUUUUUUUUCUUUUUUCCUUUUUUAUCUGUUAUUGGUUUAGAAUUUGAUCCAAUGAUGAAUUGUUUUGGAGGGGGAAAAAAGGGUAAAAUAAAUAAUAAUAUUUGAAUACAAUUAUUUUGUAAAGUAUUGACAUUUUGACAUUUUAAAUAAAUAUUUUAAAAUGUAGUUGUUUUGACUAAUUAUGUUAGGUAUAUUGACUAAAUUUCUAAUUUUCCCUAUUAUUAUUAAAUAAAAGAGAAAUAAG
rnacentral:lncRNA from 1 species